rnacentral:rRNA from 1 species
CACGUAGGCACCAAGCGUUGUCCGGAUUUAUUGGGCGUAAAGAGCUCGUAGGUGGUUUGUCGCGUUGUUCGUGAAAACUCACAGCUCAACUGUGGGCGUGCGGGCGAUACGGGCAGACUGGAGUACUGCAGGGGAGACUGGAAUUCCUGGUGUAGCGGUGGAAUGCGCAGAUAUCAGGAGGAACACCGGUGGCGAAGGCGGGUCUCUGGGCAGUAACUGACGCUGAGGAGCGAAAGCGUGGGGAGCGAACAGG